rnacentral:lncRNA from 1 species
AACUUAGAAUCCCUGGCUACCAUUUCAAAAUUGUAAUUGUAAAUUUGGUACAAGAGGGUUUUCUAAAAAGAUUAAUGCAUACAGAUUUUUUUUGUUCUACUUCCUGUGGUUACAUUCCUAAGAAAAACUGCUAGAAUAUUUGCCAGUGACUUGGACCUGGGUUUUAUGACCUGGCAGAAUGUCCUUUAAGGGGCCCUAAGCAAUGCUGUCAGGACUGAGCUGAGUAAGCCCCUGGGGUUAGGGAUGCUGAGGACCCCUGGGGGUGCCCUGGCUUGGCUGGCACAGGAAGGCAGGAGAGGGAGUGGGUUUCAGGGAGGAUGGGCUCCUGGCCUGUGCAUCUUUGCAAGGGUAAGAUUUGCUAAUCUUACAUCACAGAUGCCUCUCCAUGUGUGAGUCUAUGUUAGCUGUACUCUCAAGCAAUGAGAUAAACUGCCCCCUCCCUGGAGGCCCGGUGACUGUCAGCA